rnacentral:rRNA from 1 species
AUGGUUUCGGUGGCCUACUUCUUGCUUUGUCUCCAACUUACUCAUGACCCAACCAUUGCAUUGCCUCCUCGCUUCGCCACAGACAUGUCGACAACUAUGACUGCCACUUACGGUUCGCAGCAGCAUGCCGGAGACCAUUCCCUGAAGCCACACUUUGGGCCAACAACAAAGUACUCGUUCUCCCAUGCCUCCACGGCCCCCACACGCGCUCGGUCCAUGGCAGUGCCCAGCCCAUUUGUGGCUCCGCGGCGGCACGCAGGCACCGGCCAUUGUUUGCGCUCCGCUAGCUACACUGCCCACCUGCUCCGCACAACAUGCAUAAGGAAUUGCUGGUCGGUGACAUCAUCGGUUUGCCACUCGAGUCGCAUCAUGUCCAGCGCAAGUUGCAGCAUUGCCACAUGCUUGUCGCACCUCCCGACCUCCUUGGCCGCAACUCCCACGUGCCAUUUUGGAAUGACAUCACACAUCGAUUUCAGCACCCGUGUACCACCUUCUAAGCUCCUGCCUCACCCCUUUCCAGCACCUGCACAUGGAGCCGGGCCACGUUACAACAUUGAGUUGCUACAUAGCAGUAGUGUGGCGAGAGGUGGUGGCCAUAGCAUCCAGCUCUCCGAUUUCGUCUUUGGUUUGGAAGAGGUAGGGGACGAGGGAGGUUCACACUCGAGGAGAAAUCUGGGUGGGGUGCUCACCAUGGGGUUAGGGAAGGAGCAGGAGGUCCACCCGGACGAUCCCUCGCACGCAAACCGAGGUAGCCGCGGCUGCGCGCACUGCAGUGAUGGCGGUGCAUCCGUGCCCAUAGCUAAUUGCUCGCGUAUCGGUCUGGGGUGGCUGCAUGUGAUGCAUGCUGUGCACACGUGCCCCCAGCCGUCAGCAUACUCAACUGUGGCUGCCUGCAUGUGCCGUGCAGCUCCCUCCAGCUCCAUAGUCGUCUCUAUGUCUACCAUGUGUUUUCUGCUUGAGCUGAAAUAUUGUGCACGUAAACAUGUUCUGUACGUGCCCAUUAGUCUGUUUUACAUCUUUGGCGUCGAUUGGAGGUGCAGUGGCGGCAGCGUGAAGCUGAUGGUGGACAAGGACCCAACAAAAGACCUCUUGGGCGGCGCAAAGUAUCAGCCGCCCAAGAAGCACGCCGGCGGCGAUGGCAGCUCAGAGAAGAGCGGUGCUGUCGUGGGAGAUGCCGACUACGACGAGGAGAACGAUCAAUGGGCGAUGGCGGCGAUUUCGUUGUCGGUACCCGACAAUGUUAUGAAGAAUCUCGCUGAGUACAAGACCACGCGUGAGGCGUGGGCCGCGAUCCGCACGAUGAAGGUCGGGGAAGACCGUGUAGUACAAGCACGGAUACAGUCGCUGCUCCGGCGUCUUGAUCGGCUGAACAUGGCUGAUGGUGAGGAUGUGUCCGCGUUCUCCCGGCGUCUCACAACCUUGAUCAUUGACACAACUGAGCAGUGGCCGGAUAUGAGCAAGAUGAUGGUAGCUGAGGCUCUGGGUCAUCUGCGUACAUUUGAGGAAAACGAGUCUGGCCGCAAUGAUGAUCGUGGCGGCAAGGAUUAUCAGAUGUUGCUUAUGACCAAUGCCCUUGAGUUCUUUUUCCUGAAGAAGAAAGUCAGUCCCGGCGCCGGCGGAAGCAGCAGUAUGGGAAAGCCAAACCAGUCAAACUCCUGCCGUGGCAGCGGAACCAUCAGGGGAAAACAUUGCCGUGGCAGCAGAAACUCCAGCCCGAAACGUUGCAGUGACAGCAGAAACUCCAACCAGAACCACUGUCAUGGCAGCAGAAACUCCAGCAAGAACCCCUUCCAUGGCAUCGAAAUCUCCUGUUUUGUAGACUCCUUCGCCAACACAUCCAGGGCUUGGUUCCAUUGGCUCGUUGGAAACUACCAACACCUCAAGCUCGUCCGUGGGGCCACAAGGGAAGAGGUUUCUGGAAGAAAUAUAUGCUCAAACCAAGGAGAUUUUCUGUUUCAGCUGAAAUCUGGUGCACGGAAACAUGUUCUAUACGUGCCCACUAGUCUGUUUUACAUCUUAAGAAAAGCUACAUCCAAGAAUCAGAUCUGGGCACACAUGAUCCUCCAUAAACCUUCCGGUGAUAUGAAAAAGCAGAACCGGAACGAGGGUGAUGCGAGGGGACCUUAUUUCAUGUUGACGGCACCAGCGAUUGCUUGGAUGCUGGAGAAGGCUAUAGCGGCUUUGCCCUCCAUAUCGACUUCCAUUUCAGCCAUGGCUACGGUCUCCACGCAUAUGGGCGUCACGAUCCCCUUCGGUCUUGCUCAGGAUAGAUCCAGGAGGGGCGUUUUGGUGCGACGUGAUGGGGUUGAGGUGGGUGUGGAGGAAGACAAGUGGAGGACAGAAAGAUGCAUGAGUGUGGCGGCGAUGUGGGUGUUGUCCGGUUUAUAUAGAAGCGAGCAGUGCUCUCUAACCGCAAAAUGGGGGGUGGGGCAGGGGGAGAGCCGUAAAAGGAUACGUGCAUGCUAG